UUGUUUAAACAUUUUCUUAACUUCUAUUUCGUAAAUUCUCCCCCCUGUUAUUUUCCCUUUGAAUUUACUUCCGUAAUAAUACAAAACUCUCAAGCGGUUAUAUGCUAGUCUCGGAUCCCCUUGUGUGUUGCAAGGAUACCGACGUGGUAUUUUUUUGGUGCGAAAAUAAUAUGAAACAAAUUAUAGCUUCGGUGUUUUUUGACAUAUUAUCUUAUAAUAUUUGGAAUAUAAUUUUUUACAUUUAUAUAAAUUUAGAUUUAAAAUUAAUUAGAAUCGGAAGACUCUAAUCUAUAGCUGUCAAAGAAACGGCCAGAGAAUUAUGAAAUAAUUUUUUUUAAUGUCACUGAAGCAGCAAUCCCUAAAAAUUUCGCAUGGUGUUACUAACAUUGAUUAUUUCUUAUAACUUUUCAUUUUUAUGUUUUUCAAACCAUGAACAAACUUUAGACCGGCAAUACAGUAAACCGCCGUAGUAGCUGGAUACAUAAAAAACAAGAAAGUUCUAAAUUAUGUAUGUAAUCCCAUAACAAAAUAACAUUUUCGUUUAGGAAAGUUGCUUAAAAUACAGCAGGCUUGGCUCUUCUAAACUGACAACAGAACAUUUCAACGAGGAGUCUGCUGUUGAUGAUUUAAUAGACAGAAAAGAUUGUAAGAAGUCGCCCAAAUAGGUACAUCCAUAGAUAACCCUUCUCAUCACUGGCCCGUCUCCAAGUUCUGGGUGCUCCUCCCCGCCUUCGGCCGGCUUAUCAAAAAUUGCAUGGCAUUGCAACAGGCUGGGAAUGCUAGUGGGUCUACCCGGUGCCCCUCCGAGAUGUCGGCAUAGCCACAAUUCCUGACAUUCGCUGGCUGAGAUUAAUGCGCCUUUGGUUGCAGCCGCCAAGUCGGCGAGGGCAGGUCAAGGGCCCGAGGUCUGAAGCGUCUGGGGCCGUAAAAAGUUCCGCCCUAUACUCUAAACAAACGGGAGUUCAAGGGCUGCUGGGGAACCACAUAAAUAGAGUUUAAGUAAUGCCCAAGAACCAUUCGAAGGAAUUAAUUUAUUGCUUUGUAAGCAAACUUUAUAGAGGCUGAGUUUGACAUGGGCCAGAGCUCGGAGGCAUAUCCAGGGUAUUUAGAAUUCACCAUUUCCCCAUCCAUCUCAGGUUUGUUGCUCUUUUUUGGGCCUUAUUGUCGACCUCAGCCACAGUUUAAGUUCCAGUCUCGGAUUGCGCAAUAAGAGCCCUCGGAAAAAGAGAAUAGGACUGCAAUGGAGCUGGAUUGGCAGCGGGAAAAGAACGAGGCAAGAAGGAGCCACACAGCAAAUUGUUAAAAAUAAUUUAUAUUAAAACGCAGCACAAAAAGACAUUGCAAUGAAAAUUGUGCAAACAAUUUGAGUCCAGCAAAAAGCGAGGAGAUGCCAGGCAGAUCCAGAAAUUGCGAUAAGCCCGAGCAGCCGGGAGGAGCUGGGAUCCGGGAGCAGGGCCCAGAGCCGCAAACAAAUGUCCAAAUGAUAUUUUGUCAUAAUAAAUGGCACAACUAUGAUUAUUUAUGA